UACGUAGGUGGCAAGCGUUGUCCGGAAUUAUUGGGCGUAAAGCGCGCGCAGGCGGCCUUUUAAGUCUGAUGUGAAAGCCCACGGCUCAACCGUGGAAGGUCAUUGGAAACUGAGAGGCUUGAGUACAGAAGAGGAAAGCGGAAUUCCACGUGUAGCGGUGAAAUGCGUAGAGAUGUGGAGGAACACCAGUGGCGAAGGCGGCGACCUGGGCCAAUAUUAACGCUGAGGUGCGAAAGCGUGGGGAGCAAACAGG
rnacentral:rRNA from 1 species